CAGUCGAACGAAACUUCUUUAUCACCGAGUGCUUGCACUCACCGAUAAAGAGUUGAGUGGCGAACGGGUGAGUAACACGUGGGCAACCUGCCCAAAAGGGGGGGAUAACACUUGGAAACAGGUGCUAAUACCGCAUAACCAUAGUUACCGCAUGGUAACUAUGUAAAAGGUGGCUAUGCUACCGCUUUUGGAUGGGCCCGCGGCGCAUUAGCUAGUUGGUGGGGUAAAGGCUUACCAAGGCAAUGAUGCGUAGCCGAACUGAGAGGUUGAUCGGCCACAUUGGGACUGAGACACGGCCCAAACUCCUACGGGAGGCAGCAGUAGGGAAUCUUCCACAAUGGGCGAAAGCCUGAUGGAGCAACGCCGCGUGGGUGAAGAAGGUCUUCGGAUCGUAAAACCCUGUUGUUAGAGAAGAAAGUGCGUGAGAGUAACUGUUCACGUUUCGACGGUAUCUAACCAGAAAGCCACGGCUAACUACGUGCCAGCAGCCGCGGUAAUACGUAGGUGGCAAGCGUUAUCCGGAUUUAUUGGGCGUAAAGGGAACGCAGGCGGUCUUUUAAGUCUGAUGUGAAAGCCUUCGGCUUAACCGGAGUAGUGCAUUGGAAACUGGGAGACUUGAGUGCAGAAGAGGAGAGUGGAACUCCAUGUGUAGCGGUGAAAUGCGUAGAUAUAUGGAAGAACACCAGUGGCGAAAGCGGCUCUCUGGUCUGUAACUGACGCUGAGGUUCGAAAGCGUGGGUAGCAAACAGGAUUAGAUACCCUGGUAG
rnacentral:rRNA from 1 species